AACAAACGCUGGCGGCGUGCCUAACACAUGCAAGUCGUACGAGAAAGUUGGCUUCGGCCAAUGAGUAAAGUGGCGCACGGGUGAGUAACGCGUGGAUAAUCUGCCCUUCAGCGGGGAAUAACCCAUCGAAAGGUGGGCUAAUACCCCAUAACACUGUUUUACAACUGUCAAACAGUCAAAGAGAGCCUCUGCUUGCAAGCUUUUACUGAAGGUUGAGUCCGCGUACCAUUAGCUAGUUGGUAGGGUAAUGGCCUACCAAGGCGACGAUGGUUAGCUGGUCGGAGAGGAUGAGCAGCCACACUGGAACUGAGACACGGUCCAGACUCCUACGGGAGGCAGCAGUGAGGAAUCUUGCGCAAUGGGGGAAACCCUGACGCAGCAACGCCGCGUGAGUGAGGAAGGUCUUCGGGUCGUAAAGCUCUGUCAGGCGGGAAGAAAUGCAUGGAGGUGAACAGCCGCCAUGCUUGACGGUACCGCCAGAGGAAGCACCGGCUAACUCCGUGCCAGCAGCCGCUGUAA
rnacentral:rRNA from 1 species